AGAGAUGCAUUGGGCUUAAAGCGUGCGCAGGCGGUUUUGUAAGACAGAGGUGAAAUCCCCGGGCUCAACCUGGGAACUGCCUUUGUGACUGCAAGGCUGGAGUGCGGCAGAGGGGGACGGAAUUCCGCGUGUAGCAGUGAAAUGCGUAGAUAUGCGGAGGAACACCGAUGGCGAAGGCAAUCCCCUGGGCCCGCACUGACGCUCAUGCACGAAAGCGUGGGGAGCAAACA
rnacentral:rRNA from 1 species